GUCCACGCUGUAAACGAUUAGUGCUAGGCGUUGUGGGUAUUGACCCCCGCGGUGCCGAAGUUAACACGUUAAGCACUCCGCCUGGGGAGUACGGUCGCAAGAUUAAAACUCAAAGGAAUUGACGGGGGCCCGCACAAGCGGUGGGAGCAUGUGGUUUAAUUCGACGCAACGCGAAGAACCUUACCUGGGUUUGAACUGCAGUGGACCGGUGCAGAGAUGUACCUUUCCUUCGGGACUGCUGUAGAGGUGCUGCAUGGCUGUCGU
rnacentral:rRNA from 1 species